rnacentral:rRNA from 1 species
AUUGAACGCUGGCGGCAUGCCUAACACAUGCAAGUCGAACGGAAACAGGCGAAGCGUUCCUGUCGAGUGUCGAACGCGGGCGUAAGAGUACCGCAUGGGUCCCGUGGCUGUGGGUAAGGGAUCGCUACGUGUACCAAUAGCUCAUGCGAGCUGAUGUUUUAAGCCGCGGAGUUGGCGACAAUAAUUGGCUCUUGCCGUUUCUAGUGGCUGAUGUCGCGUUAGGUUGUCGGGGGGGUAAAGUCCUACCAAGCCGACGAACUGUAGCAGGUCUGAGAGGAGGACCAGCCACACUGGGACUGAGACACGGCCCAGACUCCUACGGGAGGCAGCAGUGGGGAAUUUUGGACAAUGGGCGCAAGCCUGAUCCAGCAAUGCCGCGUGCGGGAAGAAGGCCUUCGGGUUGUAAACCGCUUUUGUACGGAACGAAAAGGCUCUGGCUAAUACCUGGGGCUGAUGACGGUACCGUAAGAAUAAGCACCGGCUAACUACGUG